UACGUAGGGGGCAAGCGUUGUCCGGAUUUAUUGGGCGUAAAGAGCUCGUAGGCGGUGUGUCGCGUCGGCCGUGAAAACCUGGGGCUUAACUCUGGGCGUGCGGUCGAUACGGGCAUCACUGGAGUUCGGCAGGGGAGACUGGAAUUCCUGGUGUAGCGGUGAAAUGCGCAGAUAUCAGGAGGAACACCGGUGGCGAAGGCGGGUCUCUGGGCCGAUACUGACGCUGAGGAGCGAAAGCGUGGGGAGCAAACAGG
rnacentral:rRNA from 1 species